CGACCGGCGCACGGGUGAGUAACACGUAUGGAACCUGCCCUAUGCAGGGGGGAUAAGCGGAAGAAAUUCCGUCUAAUACCGCAUAACACCAUUUGGAGACAUCUCCAGGGGGUCAAAGGAGGCGACUCCGGCAUAGGAUGGCCAUGCGUCGCAUUAGCUAGUCGGCGGGGUAACGGCCCACCGAGGCGACGAUGCGUAGGGGUUCUGAGAGGAAGGUCCCCCACACUGGUACUGAGACACGGACCAGACUCCUACGGGAGGCAGCAG
rnacentral:rRNA from 1 species